UGCAAUUGCCAUAGCAACGGUGUGUACC
rnacentral:piRNA from 1 species